GUUAAAAAUUGCACGGCGCCCUUAAAUGGGUUUGUUAAAUUCUCAAUGUGGAACGCGAAAUCGGGAUACUUGGCGCUCAUUCUGGAAGACGAGGGAGGUAUGCUUAGCCGUAUCAAUCUUGAGAUGUAUGCUGGUAAUUUUAAUGGUUUUGAUGUUUAAUCCAUCGCUUUAAGAUUUUCGGUUCUGUCAAAUCCAUUUGAGUUCAUGAACUCAUGAUUGUCUUCCUGAGCGAUGAUUUGUAUUCAAUUGGUUGAUAUAUUUUCCUUUUCGUAAAUCUGAAAUCUGCUGAGCUAUAAAUUUAUGAAGGGGAUUGAUUAUUAACAGGAUGUUGUUAGGAUUGUGGAGGUUGUGAGAUUAUAGGUACUAUGAAGAAUUCUGGAUUUAAUUUGACAUAGUUAGGGCAAAAGUUUGAUCACAUUUUCCCCCCUUUUGAGUUAGAAUAUUAUAUUUGGGGUAGCAUCAUCAUCGGAUAUCGUGAUGAUUCUUUUGGAUUGUUACUGUAAAUUGCGACAAUUGACAUGUUCUUAUUUAUUUGAUGAUUCUUUACACAGUGCUAGGAUCAUCCGAUUUUAUGUCGCCAAAUCCAUUUUUUAUUCCCAUUCCUGCCUAUCCCUUCAAUGGUGGAUGAUAUGGGAAUUAAGCUUUAGGAUAUUACCCUUGGUAUAAUGAUCGAUUCCUGCGAUUUACAUCCAGUGGUCCGUGUAGGAGCCGAUUUUUGGCUUCAAGACUUGAUGCCUUCUUUUGUUUAUACACAUUUAUGAGAAUGCACUAAGGUUUGUGGUAUUUAUGCUUCAUGUAGUUACAAGAAGAACAUAGUGGCUACUCUUGAAAAAUAUAAGAAUCUACUUAUGACUAAUACCACAAGGGUGACAGUUAUGUGGUUCAUAUUAGCUUACCAUAUUGGCAUUUGCUUGAAAAAUGUUAAACCAUUCAAGUAAAAGUAUAGAGAGUAAAUGGAUUCUUAUCCUUGAUGAUAAUUGUGAUGUUGAGAUUUGAGAAUGACCUUUAGAAUCUUUGUUCUAGAAUGUAAACAGUUAAAGGGCUAAGAGGGAAUGGGUUCAAGCUUUGGUGGCUAAUCUACCUAAGGCUUAAUAUCCUACGAAUUAUCUUGGAAAUCAAAUGUUGUAGAGUUAGGUGGUUGCUGUGUGAAAAUAGUUGAGAUACGCUCAAGUUCGUAUCUCAAGUUGGCCCAGAAGGAGACACCAUUAGGGUAACUUUGAUUCUCGAGGAGCUUGGAUAGAAUCCAAUGGUUAGAAGAAACCUUGAUGAUAGCUCGGGAAUGAGUUUCUCUCUUUCCCUCGCUAAAAUAUUUACUCCCAGGAUAAAUGAUUGGAGAAUAUCACGAGUGAAGUGAGAGGAAGAAAACAAGAACACUUCACCUCAACAAAACUGAAACUCAUUUUAUCCUCAACUCUAAAUUGAAGUUUCAGAACCAAGACUACGCAAUUUCAUUAGCAAGAACUAUAAGACAUUCUAGUGAAAUUAAGCACUCUAAUCAUACUAAAGUUCCCGAUCCACUAACCAAAAUAGUUUUGCCUCUCUAGAGUCUAGACUCCUCUUAAUUUUGACUCUCUAAAUUCCUUCUUGUUCUCUAUCUAAGCACUUAUUGAACUAUUUUAUUUGGCAUUUUUAUGAGGCACAACUCUGAAGUCCUUCGAGUCCAUACAAUUGUUAUUUGGGUUUGUAUUUACAUACUAGUUCUUGUGAUAUGUUUAUGAAAAACAUUGAAUGACUUUGCAGACUAACUUUCAGGUUAGGAAAGUCUUCAUAGGCAUAUUGAAUAUAUACCCCUUUUUAUGGUUGAAUAAUUGUUUCUGAUUUAUGUCGGAGUCUCCUAUUGGCUAAAUAGGGGGAAGAUCAUGGGUACAUAAGUGAGGGAGACUCUCUAUUGGUAUAGAUUUUUUUUUUUAGAGAACCAAAAAUCAAACCACAAGAGCUAAUCCUCAAAUGAUGUUACCAAAAGAGGCAGAACUGAAUUAAAUCCUCGUAAUGCCACAUUUGUAAUGUAAUAUUCUAGUAAGGUUCAGAAAUAGUACAAAUUUUUUUAAGAAGCUAAAUGAAGUUUCCUCAAGCUUUGGUGAAUGUUGUAAACUAAGAAAAGUUUAUAUCGAGACUGAAUAAUAUAAUGAACUGAGCGUCGUUCCUAGUACAUGUGGGAGAUUUGAACCAGAACUUUUCGUUUUGGUUGAAGAUAUAUAUUUUAACGAAUCUAAUUUUGCUUAGAUCCUUAUGCACGGGAUACACUAAUAAUUUAAUGUAUAUUUUUACAAUUUUUUUAAUGCUUCUUGACAAUUAUGUUGUGAUUUUUAUUGUUUAUUGUUUAUUGUUAUGGAUAGAAAGUCAGAUAUCAACCUCUGUCACUUCUGCAAUGGGUCCUACAUUCUAAGAUAUGUAUAAAGUACCAUUCUUGGAAGAAAAAGAAAAAGAAAAGAUUGUGGGUCAUGAAGCCAUGUUGUGUACUUUGUUUGGUUGCUCUCCAAAUGGCAAAUUGAAUAGCCAAUUGGAAUGGUGACCCUUAAAACAUCCAUGUGCACCUUUGGACCACCUUCUCCUCCACACUAAUUCUAUUAGCUCCCCUAACCCUACCUUUUUCUUUUCUUUUCUUUUCUUUUCUUUUCUUUUCUUUUUUCUUCCGAUCACUCCGUAUCGAGACCCUACUCUUCUAGUCUUUUUUAGCCUUCGGAGACCAUUUGCGUACCCCGAGGCUUGCUCUAAUUCAAGAGACAACAAAAGUUUUACGGUAAAUAUAUGAGUUUUUGAUCUGCAGACUUAA